ACCCUUGUGGAGGAGGACGCCGAAGGUGGGGCUAAUGACUGGGGUGAAGUCGUAACAAGGUAGCCGUACCGGAAGGUGCGGCUGGAUCACCUCCUAACAGGGAGACAACAAAAUGUAAAUAUUAAUUUUGUCACCUUAGGUCGAUCGGUAUCUCAGAUUCUUAAUUUUUUAAGAAUUUCAGUUUCUAAGUUUUUUCUAGGUCACACCCAUCACUUUUUCCUGGGCCAUUAGCUCAGGUGGUUAGAGCGCACCCCUGAUAAGGGUGAGGUCCCUGGUUCAAGUCCAGGAUGGCCCAUAUCUCUAUGUUGGGGGUAUAGCUCAGUUGGUAGAGCGCCUGCUUUGCAAGCAGGAUGUCAGCGGUUCGAGUCCGCUUACCUCCACUGAAUACCACCUCUUACAUAUUUAAGGAGGGAAAUUGUUUUGAGUCGUGUCCUAAUUUGCUCUGAGCGAAUCUAGCUUCCUAUUUUUCAAUAAAUAAGAUGCUGGACUCAUUGAAUUUUUAUUCAUUGUUUUUCAGAGAACCUUGACAACUGCAUAGAUUAUUUUUGAAGACAAUAAGCAUCUUUUAAUGAUGCAGAUUUAUUAUUUGUGCGAAUGCAUUAAAUAACAAUUCUAUUAAGCUGAUGCUUCAAUUUUUGAAGUUAUUGGUCAAGCUACAAAGGGCUCACGGAGGAUACCUAGGCACACAGAGGCGAUGA
rnacentral:misc_RNA from 1 species